UUUUUAUUUUUUGUGUAUUUUAAUUUUUGUAUUGUAUUUUUGUUGUUUUUAUGAUGCAUCAAGUGAAAUCAAUGAGUAUACUUAACCACCCAAUUUUAGAUCAGCUAGACAUACUUGAGAAAAUAGUUGAGAAAGUUGUUAUGGGUGGUGCAAGCAUGAUAGUUGUUCUACCCCACAACAUAAAAUUGAGACCGCACCACCUCAAUUAGAUAACACAUCAAGGAUGAUAUAAGGGAUUACAGAUAUCUUUACGUUUUAUUAUAUUAAAACAUGAACCAUAACAAGCUUAUAUACUUCCUAAUAGUUGUAUUAUGAAAUUUGGGAAUGCAAUUACUGACUUGACAUAACCGUACUACAAUUGUGGCGCUCGAAAGUAGAAUUUUUAUAGUGAUUUCAACUUAUACUCAUUGUUCUCAUACUUUAACAUAGAGAUUUGACUUUUUCAUUAACUUUUAAUUAGGUUCAUGCAUGAUAUGUUGUAGAGGUAAAU
rnacentral:lncRNA from 1 species